rnacentral:rRNA from 1 species
UACGUAGGGGGCAAGCGUUGUCCGGAUUUAUUGGGCGUAAAGAGCGUGUAGGCGGCUUUGCAAGUCCGUUGUGAAAACUCGAGGCUCAACCUCGAGACGCCGGUGGAAACUGCAAAGCUAGAGUCCGGAAGAGGCGAGUGGAAUUCCUGGUGUAGCGGUGAAAUGCGCAGAUAUCAGGAGGAACACCGAUGGCGAAGGCAGCUCGCUGGGACGGUACUGACGCUGAGACGCGAAAGCGUGGGGAGCAAACAGG